GACGAACGCUGGCGGCGUGCCUAAUACAUGCAAGUUGAGCGCUGAAGGUUGGUACUUGUACCGACUGGAUGAGCAGCGAACGGGUGAGUAACGCGUGGGGAAUCUGCCUUUGAGCGGGGGACAACAUUUGGAAACGAAUGCUAAUACCGCAUAAAAACUUUAAACACAAGUUUUAAGUUUGAAAGAUGCAAUUGCAUCACUCAAAGAUGAUCCCGCGUUGUAUUAGCUAGUUGGUGAGGUAAAGGCUCACCAAGGCGAUGAUACAUAGCCGACCUGAGAGGGUGAUCGGCCACAUUGGGACUGAGACACGGCCCAAACUCCUACGGGAGGCAGCAGUAGGGAAUCUUCGGCAAUGGACGAAAGUCUGACCGAGCAACGCCGCGUGAGUGAAGAAGGUUUUCGGAUCGUAAAACUCUGUUGGUAGAGAAGAACGUUGGUGAGAGUGGAAAGCUCAUCAAGUGACGGUAACUACCCAGAAAGGGACGGCUAACUACGUGCCAGCAGCCGCGGUAAUACGUAGGUCCCGAGCGUUGUCCGGAUUUAUUGGGCGUAAAGCGAGCGCAGGUGGUUUAUUAAGUCUGGUGUAAAAGGCAGUGGCUCAACCAUUGUAUGCAUUGGAAACUGGUAGACUUGAGUGCAGGAGAGGAGAGUGGAAUUCCAUGUGUAGCGGUGAAAUGCGUAGAUAUAUGGAGGAACACCGGUGGCGAAAGCGGCUCUCUGGCCUGUAACUGACACUGAGGCUCGAAAGCGUGGGGAGCAAACAGGAUUAGAUACCCUGGUAGUCCACGCCGUAAACGAUGAGUGCUAGAUGUAGGGAGCUAUAAGUUCUCUGUAUCGCAGCUAACGCAAUAAGCACUCCGCCUGGGGAGUACGACCGCAAGGUUGAAACUCAAAGGAAUUGACGGGGGCCC
rnacentral:rRNA from 1 species